GCGGACUCGUUUUUUUCCGCCAGUCUUGGCGGAAGCCUGAGACGCAAUAGAUGGAGACUCUCCUUUUCGCCUUGGCGUACUCUUUUUUUUUUUUUCCUCCCUGGAGCUGGUCUUGUGGGGCAGCCCUAAAAUGUAUCUCCAAGUGACCCUGCACUCAUCACUUGCUGCCUUGGACUUAGUUUCCUCAUUCGUAGAAUGGAGACACCACACUUUCUGAAGUGCUUAUGAGACUUGCAGGAGGGAGGAAUCUCCCAGUGUUUGUGCCAUGUUUUGAUCUGACUGAAAGCCAUAAACAUAGCCGAAGCCUGGGCCAUCCACAGAAGACCCAAUGUUCUCUUUUUCCAAGUGGGCAUUUUGUAUCUCUGAAGAGUUCUAGACUGAGCUACAUCAGUAGACCUCUGCAUUUAAAGGGAGCAAUUCUCAUCCGAGGAUCCUGAUUCUUCUACUGUAGUGCAAUUUCACCACUCUCUCCAAAUGUCUCCAAGCAAAUUCAAAGCAGCUGAAAAUAACUGCAUGCCUGAGAGUGAGAGAAAUUUCUUAAGUGAUCGACCAAAUCUGGGUCUGAUUAGUGGGUGGAUGCCUCAUUGGAGAGGCUGAUUUGAGAGUCGGGGUACAAAUAAUAAUGGCUAAUAAUGGCAAACAAUUAGUAAUUGCUAGGUGCCAGGAGUUGUGCUAAAUGCUUUACAUGAGUAGAUAGGAUAUUGCAGAUCUCAACAGUUAAGAAAUUUGCUUGUGAUCAUGUAGUUUGGAGAGUAUCAGAGUCUGAAAUGAAGACAACUUGAGGGUCAAUAAACAGGAAGAAAAAGUACUCUACAAGACAGUUUAUCUGAUAACGGUAUGAUGGAAGAUGGCAUCAGGCGGAGGUAAAUGGGACGAGGGACUGGAAGAAAACCACUGAAUCAAAGACUCUUGGAGUUGAAAGUUUCCUUAGCAACUAUCUAGAUUCAUUAACUUCUUCACAGUUGAGAGAUUUCUGCAUUAUUUUUCUUCCAUAAAUAACCAAUCUCUGCUUAAUUUUUUACCAGACCACCCCAUCUACUCCUGGGCUACCAUUACCAUUCAAGUCUUUUCCCUUCUUUUGGACUAAAAACUACUUUUAAAAAUUGUCAUCCAUUAGUCACAGUCAACCUCUCUGGAGUUAACAAGAUAAAUAUGUGUCUCUUUCAUUUGACAAUCCUUCAAGUAUUUCAACAUAACUAUAACAUUCUCCUUAAGUCUUUUCAUUUCUAUUUGCAAGUUCUUCAGCUAUUUUUCUUACAAUAUAAUUAACAGUCCUUUUGCCAAGCAGGGUCUCUAUUAUUUAGUAAAAGGCAGGCAAAUACUGGAAGACUAUUCACAUUUGAAUUUGACAAAAAAAAACAAACGAAAGCCAUUUUACAAUUAAGGCAACUUAGAUGUCAGGACAAGAAAACUGUAGGACCAGCAUUAAGUAGUCAGUUGAGUGUGGGAACAUAAUCCACAGGAGAAUCUAGUGUGUAUAAUGAAAGUCUGGAAAAAUUCAGUAUAAUAUCAUUUCAAUAACUAUUCCUUUUAAGAUUCCCCUUAGAAGAACACAUAACUUAGAUGUCCUGAGGACAGAAUCUGGAGCACAUCUGAGCAUUUAUAAACUGGAUUCUGCCUGGCACUUAAAAUGUUUUCCUAUUUAGGAGAUUUAAUUGUCAAAUGAGGCUUUUAUCUUUUGAUCCUAUCAACUGAUAUCCUGCAGAAAACGCUGGAUGAUGGAUUUCUUUGGAACACACGAUCAUUCUGUAAUUUUACCUUUCUUUCCUUUUCCUCUGUUUCUUUACUUGUAACUGAACCCUGAAAUAGAACUUAAUCUGUCAGCUGCACUCUACAUUUGUUCUUUUUGCACAGAAAACACUAUUAUUGCAGAUAUUCAAACUAUACAAACUAUACAUUUUUCUUAAAAUUCAACAUAGUUGAAAUAAAAAGGUUUUGCAAAUGUAUUUAAAACUCUUCAGUGCUUACUAUGCUGUUUUUACAUAGUAUCUUUUAGUAGGAAAAACAGAAACAUGGCGAGGUAAUGUCUCUUUUUUUUUGCCUAAUGCUAAUUAAAUAAUCUGUAAACUUAAAUACUAUCAAGAUUUUGAAUCAGCUGAAAAUCAAACUGAGUCAUUCAUAAUUUUUUCUGAAUCUUGAUAUUUUUGCAGUUAUUCUGCAGAGUGUCUUGAAAUGCUAGAAGCUGUAAUAAUUUGUGGCUAUUCUAUUUCUCAAGGACAUUAGAUAGAAAUUUCAAAAAAAUACUUCUGUUCAUAAGACAGUGAGUUAUACCCAUCUUUAGGGAGGUAAAGUAGACGUUUUGAAAUGCUUUUGAGAUUUCAGGAGCCAUGGUAAAAAGAAUAGAAGCAGUUAGAUUCUUAACUCUCCCUAAAUGUGUUAUUAUUUAACAAAAAUAGGAAUUGAUUGAAUAGUUUUGAGUCUAAUUACCAACAGUUUACUCCAUUUGUGUUUUAAAAUGGGAAAUGUAUCUUGAUUCAUUAAUGGAAAUUGCUUCAUUUUGUCCUCCAUGAAACAUGGAGAUGUUAAAGUUUUAUCAUAAUACAGUUGAAAUUACUUAGUAAGAUGAAAUUACUAAUUUCCACACAAAUACAACGCUUACUAUUUCAUUACUAUUACUAGUAAUUUUCAUCUUUCAUUUUAGUAAUUAUAUGGUCUGCACUAUAUAAUUCUUUCUUUCUGAAAGAAUACUCAUCAGAAGUUAUAUUAAUACUUUGAAAGGUUUAUGAAAAAUAAAAAAUGAAAGAUGCCCAGCAUUUUUUUUCUGGUGUAUUUUUAGCAAGAUCAGAUAUCAUAGAAUUUAAAUGAAGAACUUUGCUCUACGUAAUUAGUCAUUGAUCAAAGAAACGACAAAUUUUGGAAUGAAAAUAGCAAAUUCAGUUAAAAUAUUCUGCAAAAAUACUUCUAAAAUUAUUUUUAAAAGAUAGUUGUUAAGGCAUAGGACUAGUACUCUUGGAUACUAUUUUUUCUAGGUGUAUCAUAUGAGUAUUAAUAAUUCAAUCUGAAACAAAUCAGUAAGCUUUCUAGUAUUGAAAUUUUCUCUUUUGCUUUCCUACUGUGUCACCAUCGUACUGUUUUGUUUUACACAGUGAGAGCAUAAUUUUCUUCUACAGGGACCACGAAGCUUCAGGCCAGCCCUGUCCCGAAGUCUUCUGUGCUUCAUGUCGAGUGGUCUGCAGUGGACUGUGUCUGCUUGAAGCGAUGCUCCGGAGGGCUUAUUGUUGUGUGGGGUAAAGCAUGAGAUCACUGAAAAAUGAGAGAAAUCGAGCAUACGAAAUGUGAAGCAUAUCUGUUGACACCAUGCGCUCCCUUUGCUUGCACUGGAUGGCGCAUGGUUUCCGUGCGCAGUGCCUGAGGUGUGGGGCAGGCGAGGCCCAUGCAGCCUGGCUCCUUUCCAGAAGGUUGCUGUUCAUUACAGCUCGAGUGUGCUGGGUUCUGCAGAUAUUAUCUAUUUUAAAUUAACGCUCCGUAAAAGGAAUUUAAAGUUUUCUGAAAAGAAACCAA
ensembl:lncRNA ARGLU1-DT ARGLU1 divergent transcript